rnacentral:tRNA from 1 species
GCCCUCGUAGCACAAAGGAUAGUGCACAGGCCUCCGAAGCUUGGGAUAGAGGUUCGAUUCCUCUCGAGGGCA